GAUGAACGCUGGCGGCGUGCCUAAUACAUGCAAGUCGAGCGAACGGACGAGAAGCUUGCUUCUCUGAUGUUAGCGGCGGACGGGUGAGUAACACGUGGAUAACCUACCUAUAAGACUGGGAUAACUUCGGGAAACCGGAGCUAAUACCGGAUGAUAUUUUGAACCGCAUGGUUCAAAAGUGAAAGACGGUCUUGCUGUCACUUAUAGAUGGAUCCGCGCUGCAUUAGCUAGUUGGUAAGGUAACGGCUUACCAAGGCAACGAUGCAUAGCCGACCUGAGAGGGUGAUAGGCCACACUGGAACGGAGACAAGGUCCAGACUACUACGGGAGGCAGCAGUAGGGAAUCUUCCGCAAAGGGAGAAAGCCUGACGGAGAAACGCCGCGUGAGUGAUGAAGGUAUUCGGAUAGUAAAACUCUGUUAUUAGGGAAGAACAUAUGUGUAAGUAACUGUGCACAUCUUGAAGGUACCUAAUCAGAAAGCCACGGCUAACUACGUG
rnacentral:rRNA from 1 species